rnacentral:rRNA from 1 species
AUACGUAGGGUGCGAGCGUUGUCCGGAAUUACUGGGCGUAAAGAGCUCGUAGGUGGUUUGUCGCGUCGUCUGUGAAAUUCCGGGGCUUAACUCCGGGCGUGCAGGCGAUACGGGCAUAACUUGAGUACUGUAGGGGAGACUGGAAUUCCUGGUGUAGCGGUGAAAUGCGCAGAUAUCUGGAGGAACACCGGUGGCGAAGGCGGGUCUCUGGGCAGUAACUGACGCUGGGGAGCGAAAGCAUGGGUAGCGAACAGGAUUAGAUACCCUGGUAGUCCAUGCCGUAAACGGUGGGCGCUAGGUGUAGGGGUCUUCCACGACUUCUGUGCCGUAGCUAACGCAUUAAGCGCCCCGCCUGGGGAGUACGGCCGCAAGGCUAAAACUUAAAGGAAUUGACGGGG